CAUCUCCAUCUCCAUGGGAUAACAAGCUUGGGAGAUAUCAGAAAUGGGAGGCGGAAAGGCCAGAUCUCAUGUGGAAGACCGUACUUCAAGCAAUGUCAUGGGCCUGCAAAUUCGUCUUUCUAUGGAUUAGCAAAUCUUUUGCGACUCUGAAAAUAGCAUUGUCUACUGCAGGAAGAUAAUCUUUCGGACAUUUGCAUUCGAGACAUCUGGGCUAUCAAGAGAAUCCUGCUUGCACAUGGACGUUCAAAUUUGAGACUGUCGCAUGGGUCACAGACUUCUUUACCUUGACGGGCAUUGCCAGGAAUAGUACCGGACGGUUUUGCGAGGACUCUUCAGUUAUCACUCAUCAGUAUCACAACUCUAAUGUCAUAUGCUGGGAUUGCCACUUUGGUCAUUGCCUCUGCAGCCAACUACUCAUUCAGAGAUCGCUGGAUUAUCUCGAGUUAGUCAUAUACUUGUACAAUUGUUUAUAAUGCAAACUAUGAUGCCGUGAUGGUUAAGUCAAUUCCCUCACCAUUACUAAUC